CAAAGGCAUGGUCCCGACCUUAUUAUCAGCUCUAACUCAACUUACACAUGCAAGUCUCCGCAACCCAGUGAAUAUGCCCUCAAUCCCCCCACCCGGGGACGAGGAGCGGGCAUCAGGCACAAACAUUAGCCCAAGACGCCUAGCCAAGCCACACCCCCAAGGGAAUUCAGCAGUGAUAAACAUUAAGCCAUAAGUGAAAACUUGACUCAGUUAGUGUUAAGAGGGCCGGUAAAACUCGUGCCAGCCACCGCGGUUAGACGAGAGGCCCUAGUUGAUAUUACAACGGCGUAAAGGGUGGUUAAGGAUAAACAAAAAUAAAGUCAAAUGGCCCCUUGGCCGUCAUACGCUUCUAGGAGUCCGAAGCCCUAAUACGAAAGUAACUUUAAUAAACCCACCUGACCCCACGAAAGCUGAGAAACAAACUGGGAUUAGAUACCCCACUAUGCUCAGCCGUAAACUCAGACAUCCAGCUACAAUUAGAUGUCCGCCAGGGUACUACGAGCAUUAGCUUAAAACCCAAAGGACCUGACGGUGUCUCAGACCCCCCUAGAGGAGCCUGUUCUAGAACCGAUAACCCCCGUUCAACCUCACCACUUCUAGCCACCCCAGCCUAUAUACCGCCGUCGUCAGCUUACCCUGUGAAGGUAAUAAAAGUAAGCAAAAUGGGCACAACCCAAAACGUCAGGUCGAGGUGUAGCGCAUGAAGUGGGAAGAAAUGGGCUACAUUUUCUAAUAUAGAAUAUUACGAACAUGCACCAUGAAACAAUGCUUGAAGGAGGAUUUAGUAGUAAAAGGGAAAUAGAGUGUCCCUUUGAACCCGGCUCUGAGACGCGUACACACCGCCCGUCACUCUCCCCUGUCAAAACGCACCAAAAAUACAUAAUACAACAGCACUGACAAGGGGAGGCAAGUCGUAACACGGUAAGUGUACCGGAAGGUGCACUUGGACCAAACC
rnacentral:ncRNA from 1 species